UAGGGAAUCUUCGGCAAUGGGGGCAACCCUGACCGAGCAACGCCGCGUGAGUGAAGAAGGUUUUCGGAUCGUAAAGCUCUGUUGUAAGAGAAGAACGGGUGUGANAGUGNANNGUUCACACUAUGACGGUNACUUACCAAAAAGGGACGGCUAACUACNUGCCACCACCCGCGGUAAUACNUAGGUCCCGAGCGUUAUCCGGAUUUAUUGGGCGUAAAGCGAGCGCAAGCGGUUANAUAANUCNGANNUUAANGGCUGUGGCUUANCCNUANNANNCUUUGGAAACUGUUUAACUUGAGUGCNGAANGGGANAGUGGAAUUCCAUGUGUAGCGGUGAAAUGCGUAGAUAUAUGGAGGAACACCGGUGGCGAAAGCGGCUCUCUGGUCUGUAACUGACGCUGAGGCUCGAAAGCGUGGGGAGCAAACAGGAUUAGAUACCCUGGUAGUCCACGCCGUAAACGAUGANUGCUAGGUGUUGGGUCCUUUCCGGGACUCANUGCCGCANCUAACGCAUUAANCACUCCGCCUGGGGAGUACGACCGCAAGGUUG
rnacentral:rRNA from 1 species